rnacentral:rRNA from 1 species
GUCUACGGCCAUGCCACCCUGAACAAGCCCGAUCCCGUCUGAUCUCGGAAGCUAAGCAGGGUUGGGCCUGGUUAGUACUUGGAUGGGAGACCACCUAGGAAGACCAGGUUAUUUUUUACA